rnacentral:tRNA from 1 species
CAAGACAAAUUUAUAGAUUAUUUUUCAUUUACAUUGAGGAUUUUCUCGUGCAAUUCGAGGUGUUUUGA